AUGGAAACGGCAGACCAUGGAAGUGGGAUGUGGAAGGUGGGAGAUGGAUGUGGAAGGGCCCAUCUCCCUCCUUGACUCCUCCCCUCUGUCUCUGCUUCCUGGCCCCCGGAAAUGAGCAACUUUCUUCCUCCCAGACUCUUUCCACUGUGCCGUUUUCCCCUUGGAGCUGACCAACCAUGGACUGAAAGUGUGAGCCAAGAUAAACCUCUCCACCUUUAAAUUGUGGGUGUUGGGUACUGUGCCCCAGUGACAAGAAAGUGACCAAGACACACAUGGUUACACACUGCUAUGUACUAAGAAGGAGAGAUCCGGAUACCAGACAGUGCAGACUCCUGUGCCGGACAGGGAGGUUUACAAUAUAGAACUACGAAAAGGAUAGAAGGAGGACUCUUGUCCAUUAAAAGUUUUUCUAUAAUUCAGAGCUGAAGAAAUGAAUCAGUGCCAUUGUUUUGCUGAAGGUCAAUACCAGAUAAUUCACAAAAAGAAAGAACACCCAGGAAAUCACAGGACAAGAUGCAAUUUCAGGUAUCCAGCUCAGCACCCAAACUAGUCACCAUUUAACUCUGGAAGCAAAGACCAGAAUGAACCCUCAUACAUUGUGCCAGUGCGGAUGAGCUUGGUAUCAUUCAUCUUUCUCAGAAAUAAUAAAAAUCCCAAUGCUAUGAGGA